rnacentral:rRNA from 1 species
CACGUAGGCACCAAGCGUUGUCCGGAUUUAUUGGGCGUAAAGAGCUCGUAGGCGGUUCGGUUAGUCGGGUGUGAAAACUUUGGGCUCAACCCAAAGCGUGCACUCGAUACUGCCGUGACUAGAGUUCGGUAGGGGAGUGGGGAAGUUCCGUAGUGUAGCGGUGAAAUGCGCAGAUAUUAGGAGGAACACCGGUGGCGAAGGCGCACUCUGGGCCGAAACUGACGCUGAGGAGCGAAAGCGUGGGUAGCAAACAGGA